UGUAAAAUAAGCUAAACUCAAGCUAUUGGGCUCAUACCCCAAAAAUGAACAAUGGUUCUUUUACAA
rnacentral:tRNA from 1 species